CUUGACGCGCAUUUGACCAAAUUGGAAGGAUUAUUAAAAAAAGAGGAUCGGUCGCUACGAACUGUGUUCGAUAACGGAACACUGAAUUUGGAUGAAUAUCGCUGCCAGCCGGACGAUUUUAAAUGAGGAACGUAUAGCAUUGUUUUGGAGGAAAAAUAAUCAUUUAGUCUGAAAUUAUGACAGUUUUAUGAGAACGCACAAGAAAAUAUUCUUUUAGAUGACAAAUUUAAUAUGAG
rnacentral:misc_RNA from 1 species